rnacentral:misc_RNA from 1 species
UCCGACUCUGAGGGCAUAGCGGUACGACGAGAUCGGGUGCACGGCCGCGUUUUUCUUUUCCUUGCAUAGUGGAAGCGGCGUCACGAUUCUGCCUGUCAGUGCUGGCUCUGGUUUUCGGUUUCUCUGCGAACGACAGCUUCUCUCUCGUUGUUUCUACUCUCCGUAUCCCCAGAGGCAGUCCCGCCCACCCGGACCCCCCCUUCCCCACCACUACUUCAUAUCUUCACUCGGUGAGGCAGGAAGCUGGUAUAGCAGGUGGCCCUGCUCUCUCAUCUGCGCACACCAAGCACAGUCGUGCAUACGUAUCGAUGUCCUUGUAAAAAAAAGACGCGCUCUAUUUUUGCCGGUGCGGCCUCUGUGUAAGCAGCGCGGUCACACCCACACCCACCCACCCACCCACACACACACACACACACACACGCCACCCCAGUAGUCCGGCCGAUGGAGGAGAACAUUCGGACUCGCCUCCCGACCUCGGUGUAACUCUUUCUCCCGUGUUCCGUUUCGCGCCUUCUCCCUCUCCCUCUCUCCCCUCUCUUGCACCGGAAACGGAAG